UACGAAGGGGGCUAGCGUUGUUCGGAAUCACUGGGCUUAAAGGGCGCGUAGGCGGUCCGACAAGUCAGGGGUGAAAUCCUGCAGCUUAACUGCAGAAGUGCCUUUGAUACUGUCGGUCUGGAGGGAGAUAGGGGUGUGCGGAACUCACAGUGGAGCGGUGAAAUGCGUUGAUAUUGUGAGGAACGCCGGAGGCGAAAGCGGCGCACUGGAUCUCUUCUGACGCUGAGGCGCGAAAGCUAGGGGAGCAAACGGG
rnacentral:rRNA from 1 species